GGACUCCAAAGGGAAGCUGCGGGGGAAAACAAAAGCCCAGAAGAAGAAGGAGGAGAAAGAGAAGAAGAGUUUGGUGAAGCCUCAGGGAGACGAGCUGAAAGAAAACGGGGCGGAUAACGACGAUAGCUCCUCCACCACCACAGAGACCUCCAACCCCGACACGGAGGCCAACAGCAAGGAGGAACCGGUGAAAAAGAAAGGCGGGACAGUAACGACAGGGAAAGUGAAAGAAGAGCCGUCAAAUAUCCUCCUUAAACCCAAACCCAAGAAACCCGCCAUCAUAAAGAAAGAGUGCCCAGUGGAAAAAUCCAGUUCUCUGGAGCUUCCCUAUGUGACGCCGCUGGAGAACAAACAGCGGAAGAGCUUCACCUCCAAAACUCUGCACCCGCUCUCCAACAUCCCCAAGAGCCGGCCGCUGCAGAAACAACAGAGAUGUGAGUUUCUGCCUUAAUGUCGUC